rnacentral:snRNA from 1 species
UUGCUUCAGCAGCAUAUAUACUAAAAUUAGAUAUAGAGAAGAUUAUCAUGCUUCCUAUGCAAGGAUGACAAAUUUGUGGAACAUUCCAUAUUUAA